UUCUGACCGUAAACGAUGCCAACUAGCGAUCCGUCGGUGGUAAUUACGCCUUGGCGGGGAGCUUCCCGGAAACGAAAGUCUUCCGGUUCCGGGGGAAGUAUGGUUGCAAAGCUGAAACUUAAAGGAAUUGACGGAAGGGCACCACCAGGAGUGGAGCCUGCGGCUUAAUUUGACUCAACACGGGUAAACUCACCCGGCCCGGACACCGUGAGGAUUGACAGAUUGAGAGCUCUUUCUUGAUUCGGUGGUUGGUGGUGCAUGGCCGUUCUUAGUUGGUGGAGCGAUUUGUCUGGUUUAUUCCGAUAACGAGCGAGACUCUAGCCUACUAAAUAGUCGCGAGAUGCUCGUGUCUCGUCGACUUCUUAGAGGGACAAGCGGUGUUCAGCCGCAAUAAGUUGAGCAAUAACAGGUCUGUGAUGCCCUUAGAUGUCCGGGGCUGCACGCGCGCUACACUGGAGGAAUCAGCGUGCUUGUCCAUUGCCGAAAGGCAUUGGUAAACCCUUGAAAAUCCUCCGUGAUCGGGAUCGGGAAUUGCAACUAUUUCCCUUGAACGAGGAAUCCCCAGUAAAUGUGAGUCAUCAGCUCACGUUG
rnacentral:rRNA from 1 species